rnacentral:rRNA from 1 species
GCACAAGCGGUGGAGCAUGUGGUUUAAUUCGACGCAACGCGCAGAACCUUACCAGCUUUUGACAUGUCCUGGACGGAUUGCAGAGAUGCGAUCUUCUCUUCGGAGCCGGGAACACAGGUGCUGCAUGGCUGUCGUCAGCUCGUGUCGUGAGAUGUUGGGUUAAGUCCCGCAACGAGCGCAACCCUCGCCUUUAGUUGCCAUCAUUCAGUUGGGCACUCUAGAGGGACUGCCGGUGAUAAGCCGGAGGAAGGUGGGGAUGACGUCAAGUCCUCAUGGCCCUUACAGGCUGGGCUACACACGUGCUACAAUGGCGGUGACAGAGGGAAGCGAAGGAGCGAUCCUCAGCCAAUCUCAAAAAGCCGUCUCAGUUCGGAUUGCACUCUGCAACUCGAGUGCAUGAAGUUGGAAUCGCUAGUAAUCGCGGAUCAGCACGCCGCGGUGAAUACGUUCCCGGGC